GGGAAGGUGGCUCAGUGGUAGAGUACUUGCCUUGCAUGCAUGAGGCCCUAGGUUCGAUUCCUCAGCUCCA
rnacentral:tRNA from 1 species